GGGGAAGGGGCCCCAUAGUCUGGGAUACCACUUGGAAACAGGUGCUAAUACCGGAUAAGAAAGCAAAUCGCAUGAUCAGCUUAUAAAAGGCGGCGCAAGCUGUCGCUAUGGGAUGGUCCCGCGGUGCCUUAGCUAGUUGGUAAGGUAACGGCUUACCAAGGAGAUGACGCCUAGCCGAGUUGAACGACUGAACGGCCACAUUGCGACUGAGACACGGCCCAAACUCCUACGGGAGGCAGCACUAGGGAAUCUUCCACAAUGGACGCAAGCCUGAUGGAGCAACGCCGCUUGAGUGAAUAAAGUUUUCGGAUCGUAAAGCUCGGUUGUUGGUGAUGAAGGAUAGAUGUUCAACUGGCCUUUAUUUGACGGUAAUCAACCACAAUGUCACAGCUAACUACGUCCCUGCUCCCCCCGUAAUACUUACGGGGCAUGCGUCGUCCGGAUUGACUGAGCGUAAUGCGAGCGCACGCGGAAGAAUACGUCUGAUGUGAACCCCUCAGCUUGAGGGAGGAUAUGCUUCAGUACCUGGUUUUCUUAAUCGACGAACAGG
rnacentral:rRNA from 1 species